rnacentral:misc_RNA from 1 species
AUCAAGUCUAAAUUUUUUAAAACUCGACUAGAUUUAGUUCAUUUACAACCCUAAAAAUGACACUGCUUUAUCUAAGAACAAUAAAAAUUGUGGUCCAACUUUGUUAUGUUUUUAUGUAUAGCUAGCUUCUCUCUUGCUAGCAUUAUUCAACAGACAAAGGAUGAUAAGGGAUUGGGAGUAAGUACAAGUUUUCUUUCUUUCUUAUUGUCAAGCCAUUGGCCUCGGUCAUGUCAAGCUCUUCAGGCUUCAAUCCACUGGCAAGUUUCCAGUCAAAAUGGUAUAACAACUGAGCAAGUGGCAACUCAACAUUAGCGAGACCCAUUGAUAUUCCAGGACAUAUCCUCCUUCCAGAACCAAAAGGGAGAUACUCAAAAUCGAUCCCCUUGUAAUCGAUUGAACUAUUGAUAAAUCUCUCUGGAUGGAACUCCUCGGCUUGGAUCCAAUACUUAGGAUCUCGACCAAUUGCCCAUGUGUUAAUGAGAACUUUCGUCUUGGCAGGUAUAUGAUAUCCAUUAAUCACACAACUUGUGCCACAUUCUCUUGCAAUAAGAGAUAAAGGAGGGUGUAGCCUCAAGGUUUCUUUGAUUACUGAUUUCAAAAAUUUCAGCUCAUUUAUUCUGGUUUCAUCUACAGUUCCUUUUGGAUCAAAUACUCGUCUUACUUCAGCCUGUGCCUCCUUCAUCAGCUUUGGAUUCUUCAACAAUUCUGACAUUGCCCACUCUAAUGUUGAUGAUGACGUCUCAGUCCCAGCAGCAAACACAUCCUGCUAACAGGCUUUGAAACUUCAAUAUCCUUAUUGAUGUGAAAUUUGGAAAAAAGAAAAAAAAAAUACUGACCAGAAUGAUUGCUUUAAGACUGGCGUCAGAUAGAGCAAAUUCAAGAUUUCCCUGUUCUUGAAGCUUUAAAAGAACAUGAAUAAGAUCUUCUACUUCAUUACCGCUGCCCACCUGAGAGGCUGUGGCUUGGCUUUUUUGCUCCCUAAUGAUAUUCUCAAUUAUCCGAUCAACUUGUCGAUGCACCUUCUCAAGUUUAGACCUUAAUCCACUCAUCUGUUGAAAAACUUUAAUUGAAGGGUACAAAUCUGCAAUAGCAAAACCUGAAGAGAGACUUAUAAAUCGUUCGACGGCUGAAACCAAUUCUUCCUGAUCUCUGCACUUUUUACCAACUGCAGCUCGCUGUAUUAUGCUGUUCGUAAUUAGGAAAAGUUUCUCAGAAAGAUUGAUCGGAGACUUGCCGGUCUGUGAAAUUGUUUUGAUGAAAUUAGAAACUUCCUCUUCCCUGAUUGACCGGAAGGAUUGGACGCGCUUUGGGCUGAGAAGUUCCACUGUGCAAAUUUUUCGAAGCUGUCUCCAAUAACUACCAUAGGGAGAAAACACGAUGUCGAUACAACCAUAAAAUAAGAUGAAGGAAGCAAUAGGGUGAGGCCUUUGAGCGAAGAUGAUAUCAUGGGUUUUCAAGACCUCUUCUGCAGCUUCUGCAGACGAAACGACAACGACGGAAACUUCUCCUAGUUGCAGGUGCAUCAGGGGUCCAUAUUUCUUGGCCAAAUCUGCAAGCUUGUGAUGAAGGAGUGAGCCCAGAAGACAGUGAAUGUUUCCAACAAAAGGCAAUUUCCAGGGCCCCGGUGGGAGCUUAAGGGUUGAGUUGUUGUUGACCUUUUUUUUAAGUAGCAGGGUUAGCAUGAAGAGAAGAAGAAGGAAAGCACAGAUGGCAGGAAUGGUGGGAAAUGUGAGCUCCAUAGAGACAACGACUGUUGAAGAGAUCUGGUAAUUAGUUAAAUCAUGUUAGCAUGAAGAGAAGGAGAAGGAAAGCACAGAUGGGUGGAAUGGUGGGAAAUGUGAGCUCCAUAGAGACAACGACUGUUGAAGAGAUCUGGUAAUUAGUUAAAUCAUGUUAGCAUGAAGAGAAGGAGAAGGAAAGCACAGAUGGGU